rnacentral:rRNA from 1 species
GCUAGCGGCAGGCCUAACACAUGCAAGUCGGACGGUAACAUGGAUUGCUUGCAAUCUGAUGACGAGUGGCGCACGGGUGCGUAACGCGUAUACAAUCUACCUUUAGCUGAGGGAUAGCCCGAAGAAAUUUGGAUUAACCCCUCAUAGUAUCUUAUUAAGGCAUCUUGAUAAGAUUAAAGGAUUACGGCAAAAGAUGAGUAUGCGUUCUAUUAGCUAGUAGGUGUGGUAACGGCACACCUAGGCUACGAUAGAUAGGGGCCCUGAGAGGGGGAUCCCCCACACUGGUACUGAGACACGGACCAGACUCCUACGGGAGGCAGCAGUGAGGAAUAUUGGUCAAUGGGCGCAAGCCUGAACCAGCCAUGCCGCGUGCAGGAAGACUGCCCUAUGGGUUGUAAACUGCUUUUAUACGGGAAGAAACCCUCCUACGAGUUAGGAGCUUGACGGUACCGUAAGAAUAAGGAUCGGCUAACUCCGUGCCAGCAGCCGCGGUAAUACGGAGGAUCCAAGCGUUAUCCGGAAUCAUUGGGUUUAAAGGGUCCGUAGGUGGAUUAAUAAGUCAGAGGUGAAAUCCUGCAGCUUAACUGUAGAACUGCCUUUGAUACUGUUAAUCUUGAGUCAUUAUGAAGUGGUUA